AGCAGCCGCGGUAAUUCCAGCUCCAAUAGCGUAUAUUAAAGUUGCUGCAGUUAAAAAGCUCGUAGUUGAAUUUCGGGACCAUCAUGUCGGUCGUGCCUCGGUACGUACUGGCAUUGUUGGUUUCUACCUUCUGACGAACCAUGAUGUCAUUUAUUUGGUGUCGUGGGAAAUCAGGACUGUUACUUUGAAAAAAUUAGAGUGUUUAAAGCAGGCUCACGCUUGAAUACAUUAGCAUGGAAUAAUGAAAUAGGACGUUUGAUUCUAUUUUGUUGGUUUCUAGGAUCGACGUAAUGAUUAAUAGGGAUAGUUGGGGGCAUUAGUAUUCAAUUGUCAGAGGUGAAAUUCUUGGAUUUAUUGAAGACUAACUACUGCGAAAGCAUUUGCCAAGGAUGUUUUCAUUAAUCAAGAACGAAAGUUAGGGGAUCGAAGACGAUCAGAUACCGUCGUAGUCUUAACCAUAAACUAUGCCGACUAGGGAUCGGAUGAUGUUAAUUUUUUAAUGACUCAUUCGGCGCCUUACG
rnacentral:rRNA from 2 species